rnacentral:lncRNA from 1 species
AAAUGUUCUGAGAUUCCUGCUUGUGCAGCUGCAAGGAAAUCACUGAACGCCAUUUUUCCAUUCUCUGCAGGUCAGACAAGCUCCAUGUUGGCUGAGUCUUGGGCAUUUCAGUGUCAGAAUUCUGGCUCAUGUUAAGAAUUUGGCACUUGCUGAUGAGAAACCUGGUCUGUGGAGUAGUCUUCUCCCUUGUAUUGGAAGCUCCACUGUGGUCUGGUCCUAUGAGGUGAGUGCUCUGCUGGGGGUGCUCCCUCUAGGGUCUCACAGACCUCUGUUAGGUGGCCACGGUGGAUG